UUACCGAGUUUACACUCCCAAACCCCUGUGAACAUACCAAUUGUUGCCUCGGCGGAUCAGCCCGCUCCCGGUAAAACGGGACGGCCCGCCAGAGGACCCCUAAACUCUGUUUCUAUAUGUAACUUCUGAGUAAAACCAUAAAUAAAUCAAAACUUUCAACAACGGAUCUCUUGGUUCUGGCAUCGAUGAAGAACGCAGCAAAAUGCGAUAAGUAAUGUGAAUUGCAGAAUUCAGUGAAUCAUCGAAUCUUUGAACGCACAUUGCGCCCGCCAGUAUUCUGGCGGGCAUGCCUGUUCGAGCGUCAUUUCAACCCUCAAGCCCUCGGGUUUGGUGUUGGGGAUCGGCGAGCCCUUGCGGCAAGCCGGCCCCGAAAUCUAGUGGCGGUCUCGCUGCAGCUUCCAUUGCGUAGUAGUAAAACCCUCGCAACUGGUACGCGGCGCGGCCAAGCCGUUAAACCCCCAACUUCUGAAUGUUGACCUCGGAUCAGGUAGGAAUACCCGCUGAACUUAAGCAUAUCAAUAAGCGGAGGAA
rnacentral:rRNA from 1 species